rnacentral:tRNA from 1 species
AAGAAAGAAAAAAGAACUGCUAAUUCUUUACACCACGUCUAACCUCGUGGCUUUCUUG